AUUGAACGCUGGCGGCAGGCCUAACACAUGCAAGUCGAACGAGUGGCGGACGGGUGAGUAAUGUCUGGGAAACUGCCUGAUGGAGGGGGAUAACUCCUGGAAACGAUAGCUCAUAACGCAUACCAUCAGAUGUGCCCAGAUGGGAUUAGCGUGUUGGUGUGGUAACGGCUCACCAAGGCGACGCUCCCUAGCUGGUCUGAGAGGAUGAACAGCCACACUGGAACUGGGAAACGGUCCCGACUCCUACGUGAGGCAGCAGUGGGGAAUAUUGCACAAUGGGCGCAAGCCUGAGGCAGCCAUGCCGCGGGUAUGAAGAAGGCCUUCGGGUUGUAAAGUACUUUCAGCGGGGAGGCGUUACCCUCAGAAGAAGCACCGGCUAACUCCGUGCCAGCAGCCGCGGUAAUUC
rnacentral:rRNA from 1 species